rnacentral:rRNA from 1 species
CAGCGCGAACGUUGGCGGCGUGCCUAACACAUGCAAGUCGUGGGGCAGCAGGCUACUGUCUUUUGGCAGUAGUGCUGGCGACCGGCAAACGGGUGAGUAACACGUAGCUUACCUACCCAUAGGUUGGGGAUAACAUCCCGAAAGGGGUGCUAAUACCCAAUAAUGAGGAGACUCCAAAGUCCUUAUGGGCGCCUAUGGAUGGGGCUGCGUCCCAUCAGCUAGUUGGUGAGGUAAUGGCUCACCAAGGCUACGACGGGUAACCGGUCUGAGAGGAUGACCGGUCACAGUGGGACUGAGACACGGCCCGCACCCCUACGGGGGGCAGCAGUGGGGAAUAUUGGGCAAUGGCCGAAAGGCUGACCCAGCAACGCCGCGUGGUGGAUGAAGCCCUUCGGGGUGUAAACACCUUUUCUGGGGGAAGAUAAUGACGGUACCCCAGGAAUAAGGGACGGCUAACUACGUGCCAGCAGCCGCGGUAA